rnacentral:piRNA from 1 species
UAGCAGCUUAAACAUAUUACAGGUUC